GAGGGUAUAGCUCAGUGGUAGAGUACAUGCUUAGCAUGCAUGAGGUCCUGGGUUUAAUCCCCAGUACUUCCU
rnacentral:tRNA from 1 species